GGCCCGUUGGUCAAGUGGUUAAGACACUGCCCUUUCACGGCAGUAACACGGGUUCGAAUCCCGUACGGGUCA
rfam:Pontibacillus yanchengensis Y32 contig50, whole genome shotgun sequence.